rnacentral:rRNA from 1 species
AGGUCUUGACAUCGAGGAAAGCCAAUAGAGAUAAUGGUGGCCUUCGGGCAUCCGAAGACAGGUGGUGCAUGGUUGUCGUCAGCUCGUGUCGUGAGAUGUUGGGUUAAGCCCCGCAACGAGCGCAACCCCUAUGGUCAGUUACUAACGCGUAAAGGCGAGGACUCUGACAAGACUGCCGGGGACAACUCGGAGGAAGGUGGGGACGACGUCAAAUCAUCAUGCCCCUUAUGACCUGGGCUACAAACGUGCUACAAUGGUGGUUACAAAGAGGAGCGAGCCUGUAAAGGUAAGCGGAUCUCAAAAAAGCCAUCCCAGUUCGGAUUGUGGGCUGCAACCCGCCCACAUGAAGUUGGAGUUGCUAGUAAUCGCGGAUCAGCAUGCCGCGGUGAAUACGUUCCCGGGCC